CUCUACAGAAGCAACUGAUCUUUCUCUCUGAGCUUGAUAAUGGCGCAAUCAAAGGGAUGGAUUCAGAACGAGGAUGUGGUGUGAAUGAUAAUGAAUCCGAUUUAAGCAUAAAUAUGAUACCUUGACGGAAGAGAUAUACGCUUAAUGCAUGAAGAAAGGACAGAAGCUUUGACUUUUCUUCUCACGGUUUUUUUUUUUUGAGUUAUUCCUCAAAGUCUUGGUAGAAUUUGUAUUUUUUGAGCCAAAGAGAAACUUUUACUCUCUUAUCGUUGCACAGAAGGAUACUACCUUUUUUUUU